GAAUGAUAAAGUGUUUGCAAUAAAUGCAAGUACAAUUCAGCCUGCAUUUAAUGGCGUUUGAGAUCAAGAUCAAGGUUUUUUUUACAUAAUAUUUAUUGUGUUAUUUAUUUACUAUAAACGGACGCCUAAGCAAGUAUAAAGUCAAGUUUAUAAGUUUUAAUCGUUUUCAUAUAAUGUUAAGUUCACAUACAUAAGUUUCCGAUUUGUUGUUUAUAAUGUUGUUACCAACAACAUGAAGCAAAAGGUAAACAGAAAAAGGUAGAAAUGUUAAAAAAGCAUGCAAACAAGUUGAAAUGUAAACUUAAAUAAAGAAUGAAAUUCAAAAAAAAACAAAAAACAACAAUUGGAGGAGUUGAAAAAAAAACGCCAAAUAGUUGCUUGCAUUUAAAAGGAAUAGAAAAACAAGCGGACUAAACCUGCGCAGUGCGCCAUUUUCUGAUUUAGAAGUAACUUUAAGAAACAGGCAACAAAGGAGCCAAUGUACAGGAGCCAAUAUAUAUGUAUAUUAUCCGCUGGUCCCAUAUACCAAAAGUCUUAACAAAGGAACUGCAUUGUAUUUGAAUCCCGCCGUCUAUAAAUCUUUCAGCAAUACGUUUGAAAUAUAUUAAAGAAUUGUUCAAAAUUUUUUAAACUAACUGUUACUUUAGUAAUAGUGGAGCAUUGUGACAGUCAGCAGUUGAGACACAAAACUCUACAACUUCAAGAUUGUUCUAAUUCUAAUUAGUAAAAAU